AAAAGAGAGAGUAAGAGUUUAGAGUUCUAAGGGGGAUACGAAAGUGUUAAGUCUAGUAAAGGUUUUGGAAUUCAAAGAAGUUAGGCAUUGUGAUUCAAAGAAAAGGGUAAAACGCCCUAUGUGCUAAGAUUAGAAGAAAAGCCUUAAGUUUGUCAAAGUAUAAAACCAAACUCGCUAGACUCUUAAAUCGUUUCAAAGUCAACCCCUUAGAACUUGAACAAAAAAGAGAAAAAGAAUGAGAAAAUAGGUAGAGUUAGGACAUCUAUGGGACUGAGAUCAUCUUCUGAGCUGUCAUACUAUAUCAUUGGGUAGAUGGGAGUCUGUUCUUGUAUGUGUCCAUUGGCUUUUACCUUUAGCAUUCUAAUGAAGCUCAAUCUAUUCUCCGAGAGUCCCCUGUUACUCGACCAAACCAUUAAAGGGACCAUUUUUUAUCUCUUAGCCUAAGCCCGAAAUCAAGUGAGUUCAUAACCAUUGCAUUGCUUGAUCCACUAUUCAU
rnacentral:sRNA from 1 species